rnacentral:rRNA from 1 species
UCCACGCCGUAAACGAUGAUUACUAGCUGUUGGCGAUACACUGUCAGUGGCUAAGCGAAAGUGAUAAGUAAUCCACCUGGGGAGUACGAUCGCAAGGUUGAAACUCAAAGGAAUUGACGGGGGCCCGCACAAGCGGAGGAGCAUGUGGUUUAAUUCGAUGAUACGCGAGGAACCUUACCCGGGCUUAAAUGCAGGUUGCAUAAAGUGGAAACACUUUUUUCCUUCGGGACUAC